GAUGAACGCUGGCGGCGUGCCUAAUACAUGCAAGUCGAGCGAAGUGGGGACGGGUGAGUAACAAGUGGAUAACCUCCUAUAAGACUGGGAUAACUUCGGGAAACCGGAGCUAAACCGGCUACAUGUAGAUUGAUCCGGGCUGCAUUUGCUAGUUGGAAAGGUAACGGCUUACCAAGGCAACGAUGCAUAGCCGACCUGAGAGGGGGUUCGGCCACAUUGGAACUGAGUGAAUGUCCAGAAUCCUACGGGAGGCAGCAGUAGUGAAGCGUCCGCAAUGGGCGAAAGCCUGACGGAGCAACGCCUCGUGAGUGAUGAAGGUCUUCGGAUCGUAAUACUCUGUUAUUAGUGAAGAGGUACCAAAUCAGAAAGCCACGGCUAACUACGUGCCAGCGGCCGCGGUAAUAC
rnacentral:rRNA from 1 species